rnacentral:rRNA from 1 species
UAAGAGACUGCCUCGGAUAACGGGGAGGAAGGUGGGGAUGACGUCAAGUCCGCAUGCUCUUACGUCUAGGGCUACACACGUCCUACAAUGGGGUCGACAAUGGGAUGCAAUAUCGCAAGAUGGAGCCAAUCCCCAAACGGCCUCUCAGUUCGGAUUGUAGUCUGCAACUCGACUACAUGAAGUUGGAAUCGCUAGUAAUGGCAGAUCAGCAUGCUGCCGUGAAUACGUUCCCGGGUCUU